rnacentral:lncRNA from 1 species
UACGGACGUCCGUACCAUGCUCUCCCUAAACCCCCUUAAGCUUCCUCAUCUCCUUUCCUCUUCAACUCCUUAGCUCUUCAUACAAAUACUCAGCUCAACUCAACACUCCCCCUCAAGCUUAGCUUUGUGAAAGCUUAAGCUUGGAAUGCCACAAGAUCUUCCUCGUUAAAAACCUCACCAAAGAAAACCCAAUGGGAUAAAACUUUGAUGAGGGAAAAAGAGUAAAGACCUUGCAGCAAAGGGGAUUAGCUCCUUCUCUUCCCAAGAUCAAUGAGGCCCAACCUGAUGUGAAUGGACUCCAUUGUCUUCUGUCUUGCAGCCUUGGUGAACACAUCCGCUAGCUGAUCUUCACUCCUUGUGUAACAAGGCAAGAUCACCCCUAGCACAAUCAUCUGCCUCACCUUGUGACAAU